rnacentral:lncRNA from 1 species
AGAAGAAGCAGUGACUGAGAGUGAAAGGCCAAACUCAGAAGUGGAAAACAAUGAGAGAACCGACGGGGUCGCCCAGGAUGGCUGAGGCAGUUGCAAAGGGAUGGUAAAAUGAAAUAAGAGUAAGCCCUUAAAGUAGCGGGUGGGUGAAAGAAUAAUGGACAAAGGCGUGGGAUCUCCAGGAGUUGGAGACAAGGAGACAGGGGCCCUGCGUCUGUGGUAGGAGGGCUGACAGGAGUGAUCCCAGGAGAGAAACAGGGAUAGGUGUUGACUAGAAGAGAAGAGAAGGAAGUAAGCCUAGACACCUGGAGUGCCCCAGAGUGGGAGUGUAACAGGGAGAGAAGGCGUGUGACAAGAAGGCAGAAAGGGAGCAGAGUUGGAGAAAGAGACAAAUGUGUAGGUAUUUAGGACAAUUAGAAGGGUGGGGGUGGGGAGAAGAGCAGCAAGAGGAGAACAAGUUGCAGAGGGGAGCAGGACAGGUGUGAGGGAAGAAAUAGGAGGGCAGAAACAGCAUCCCACCUGAGGCAGUGGACACCAAAGGACUGUUCCACAUAGUGAGGUCUUCCUGUUUUUGUAGUUGUGGCAAACGAAGGGGGGAUGUUGAUUCUAAGCCUUAAGCAGCCUGUUUUCCACUUGCAAGAUCAACUUCUAAAAACUUACAUUGUCUGAGGAAGAAGCUGGGAAGAGGAGGAAAAAAGGAAAGAAAACAGAAAUGGCUCUUUCUCAGAGCCGGAAGUUGGAGAGCGCGGAGACGAGGUCCCGAAGCGGCGCCUAAGCUUCCUUCUAGAAUUCAUUCCUUGCCUGAGUGCUUUCUUCCCUUUAUCUCAUACAUUUGAAAUUUUCUUUGACCUCUGAAGAUUUGUGUUGCCUGAGGAAGCCCUGAAGUUAAGGAAGAGGAACAAAAAGGAGUGAGGCAUGCUUGUUUCUCAGGUAAGGUCAUAUUUAGUCUGUCCUUCCUGAAAUGCUCUUCUCUGGACUCGCUAAUCGUGUCUGACUCUGGAGUGUCCUGUGUGACUCCUGUACAUGCACACUCACCCAGGCCCUGUCGUCUGUACUUACAUCCUGUCUCCCCAUGACCUGGUGACCUGGCCCUUGUGAGGAGGCUCCCCUGGG